AUUGAACGCUGGCGGCAGGCCUAACACAUGCAAGUCGGACGGUAGCACAGAGGAGCUUGCUCCUCGGGUGACGAGUGGCGGACGGGUGAGUAAUGUCUGGGGAUCUGCCCGAUAGAGGAGGAUAACCACUGGAAACGGUGGCUAAUACCGCAUAACGUCGCAAGACCAAAGAGGGGGACCUUCGGGCCUCUCACUAUCGGAUGAACCCAGAUGGGAUUAGCUAGUAGGCGGGGUAAUGGCCCACCUAGGCGACGAUCCCUAGCUGGUCUGAGAGGAUGACCAGCCACACUGGAACUGAGACACGGUCCAGACUCCUACGGGGGGCAGCAGUGGGGAGUAUUGCACAAUGGGCGCAAGCCUGAUGCAGCCAUGCCGCGUGUAUGAAGAAGGCCUUCGGGUUGUAAAGUACUUUCAGCGGGGAGGAAGGCGAUAAGGUUAAUAACCUUGUCGAUUGACGUUACCCGCAGAAGAAGCACCGGCUAACUCCGUGCCAGCCGCCGCAGUAA
rnacentral:rRNA from 1 species